GCAAACUUGGUCAUUUAGAGGAAGUAAAAGUCGUAACAAGGUUUCCGUAGGUGAACCUGCGGAAGGAUCAUUAUUGAGUAACCACCAGUAGGUAGACUGGCUCUCUGGAGCAUUGUGUCUGCUUGCUGUCUCAACUCAUCCCCCUGUGCACCUUUUGUAGUCCUGUUGGGAAGAAUGACUGGCCUUCUAUUUGGGAGGAUUCGGUCUGAAUUCCUCAGGUCUAUGUUCUUUCAUAACACUGUAGUAUGUUACAGAAUGUGAUCAAUGGGCCAUGUGCCUUUAAAACUAUAUACAACUUUCAGCAACGGAUCUCUUGGCUCUCGCAUCGAUGAAGAACGCAGC
rnacentral:misc_RNA from 1 species